CCUACGGGAGGCAGCAGUGAGGAAUAUUGGUCAAUGGACGAGAGUCUGAACCAGCCAAGUAGCGUGAAGGAUGACUGCCCUAUGGGUUGUAAACUUCUUUUAUAUGGGAAUAAAAUGUUCCACGUGUGGGAUUUUGUAUGUACCAUAUGAAUAAGGAUCGGCUAACUCCGUGCCAGCAGCCGCGGUAAUACGGAGGAUCCGAGCGUUAUCCGGAUUUAUUGGGUUUAAAGGGAGCGUAGGUGGAUUGUUAAGUCAGUUGUGAAAGUGUGCGGCUCAACCGUAAAAUUGCAGUUGAAACUGGCAGUCUUGAGUACAGUAGGGGUGGGCGGAAUUCGUGGUGUAGCGGUGAAAUGCUUAGAUAUCACGAAGAACUCCGAUUGCGAAGGCAGUUCACUGGACUGCAACUGACACUGAGGCUCGAAAGUGUGGGUAUCAAACAGGAUUAGAUACCCGUGUAGUC
rnacentral:rRNA from 1 species